UUGAAAAUUAAAAUUAAAAUUAAAAAUUAAAAAUAAAAUUUUGAUAACUCAAAAUUUUAAAUUAAAAUUUUAAAAAUGACGUAUUUUACAUAACAUACAGGGUGCGUUUGGUUCGCCCUAUCUUUUAAAAAUUUUUAGUAAUCCAACGAAAAUAAAAAAAAUAUGACGGUGUUUGGCUAAACGCAUUAAGUAAUCUAGUUGGUAAUAUUGGAUUCACUUGGAAAUAUGAUUCACCCCAAAGUACUAAUCUCAUUCCCUUAAGGGAUGGUGGGUAUUCUCGUAUUAACGGAUUGGGAUUAUCAUAAUAUGUCUAAUAUCUUUCUUUCUUCCUACCCGCCGGCUAAUUGAUAUUAUUUUUCUUUACAUUCUAACCUUAUAUCUCUCUCUAAACUUAUUUUCUCUCUAAAAUUCAACUUUUUUUCUCUCUCUAAACGAAGCUUUCUCUCUCUCUCUCUCUAAAAUUUCAACUCUCUCACUCCCUCUAAUUUCGACUAUAUUUUUCUUUCUAUUUUUUUAAUUAUACUCUCUCUCCCUUUUUUCUAAAAAGAUGUUGAAACUUUUGGUAAUAUUAUAUAAAAUUAAAUAAAUAAAUAAAUUAAUUUUAUAUUUUUUGUAAUAUUAAAUAACAUGGCUAAUUAAUAUUACCGUGCGAACCAAACACACAAAUUUCACAUUUUUAGUAAUAGGAUGAAUAGGAAUAAAAUUUUCGAAUAUCUUUUAUUNUCAACUCUCUCACUCCCUCUAAUUUCGACUAUAUUUUUCUUUCUAUUUUUUUAAUUAUACUCUCUCUCUAACUUAUACUCUCUCUUCAUUUUUUCUAAAAAGAUGUUGAAAUUUUUGGUAACAUUAUCUAAAAUUAAAUAAAUAAAUAAAUAAAUAAAUAAAUAGUAUAUUUUUUGCAAUAUUAAAUAACAUGGCUAAUUAAUAUUACCGUGCGAACCAAACACAGGAAUUCCACAUUCUUAGUAAUAGAAUGAAUAGUAAUAAGAUUCUCAGAUAUCUUUUAUUUCUAGUAAUCUUUCAUAAUGCGAACCAAACGCACCCACAAGGUAAUCCGUCAUCAGUAAUACGAGAUACUCAUCUCUCGCUCGGUAAUAUUUUCGGUGUAAUUCUGCACUGCUUGUAAUACUUUAUUAUUGAUCAGAUUACAUACUGGAUGAAUCAGAUUACAUACUGGAUGAACUAAAUGCAGUAAUCCUGGCAGGAUUGUUUGUAAAUAUCAACUACAGAUGCAGGAAGAUAGAUUCAGAGUAGUUUUAUAAUUUCAUUUUUUAAGUUAAAGAGAGGGAUACAUGUCCUCUGUAAGAGUCUAGGAUAACACAAAGCUUUUGUACCCCCAGUGAUGAAAAAAUAAAAUAAAUUCAUCAAAAAUCAUAUGAAGAGGAAGUUGCCAACUCUACACGGCAACUAAAUGAAAAAGGCAAACAAUGGAUGUCAAAAUGAAACCAUAUCUCAGCACUGUUGAAGAUGAAGUUGUGCUUCUAGAUCCAAAUCUAAAGAGAUCUGUAGGGGGUGAGAGAUAAAUGAACAGAAUGGGACGUGGGAUAAAUGUAUAUAUUAUUUUGAGGCAGUUCGGAUAUCUCUAGUAAAUUUUUAGAUGAAUGAAACUGAUUGUGCAUGAAUCAAAAAGCAGUUUUGAGCUGCUUUCGAUUCUGGACCUCCGAAAAUUAAUUUUGUUUAUUAUGAUUGCUAGAAUUCGAUUUUAGAAAUCAUAUUACCAAACACUCUAUUGAGCGAAAAAUAACUUUUGAUCUCGAAAUUUACUUUUCAAAAAGCUAGACCAAACAUCCCUUUAAUCUUGUAAAAGCAUAUUCCAUUCUCCUUUAUUCUAGCCUCCUCUUUUUUGGUCCUACCAAAGCCACUUGGUAACUAUCCUGCACCGCCAAUCUUGUGCAACUUUCGCCUUUCCGGCCGCCGCGAAUCCAUUCAAGUUCAUCCAAUGCUAGACCUUUUUCUUUUCUUUUCUUUUCUUUUUCAAUUAAUCGAAUAAAAUUUUCUAAUUAGCAAAAUAGCACACUAAAAAGUUUAUUUGGCCAAAAUAAUCCUCUUCUUGCCAAUUCAACGCCAAAGUGGAUAAUUAUGCCAAAAACUAUGAAUCGUUCACGGUCUUUAAGAAGGCGAUGAAAAAUUCACGGUCUUCUAAAUUUUCUACAAAGGCAGCAAGAUGGUGAAUGAUUCACUAUUUUUAAGUGA
rnacentral:lncRNA from 1 species